AAGUAAGAAACGAAAAAUCGUAUUUAAUUUCGACUUAAAAUCUUGGCCUAGGCCCUUACUUU
rnacentral:tRNA from 1 species